UACGGAGGGUGCAAGCGUUGUUCGGAAUCACUGGGCGUAAAGCGCGUGUAGGCGGCCAUCUAAGUCUGGUGUGAAAGCCCUGGGCUCAACCCAGGAAGUGCACUGGAUACUGGAUGGCUGGAGUACCGGAGAGGAGGGUGGAAUUCCUGGUGUAGCGGUGAAAUGCGUAGAUAUCAGGAGGAACACCGGUGGCGAAGGCGGGUCUCUGGGCAUUAACUGACGCUGAGGAGCGAAAGCAUGGGGAGCGAACAGG
rnacentral:rRNA from 1 species